UGGGGAAUAUUGGACAAUGGAGGGAACUCUGAUCCAGCAAUUCUGUGUGUGUGAAGAAGGUUUUAGGACUGUAAAACACUUUUAGUAGGGAAGAAAAAAAUGACGGUACCUACAGAAGAAGCAACGGCUAAAAACGUGCCAGCAGCCGCGGUAAUACGUAUGUUGCGAGCGUUAUCCGGAAUUAUUGGGCUUAAAGGGCAUCUAGGCGGUAAGACAAGUUGAAGGUGAAAACCUGUGGCUCAACCAUAGGCUUGCCUACAAAACUGUUGAACUAGAGUACUGGAAAGGUGGGUGGAACUACACGAGUAGAGGUGAAAUUCGUAGAUAUGUGUAGGAAUGCCGAUGAUGAAGAUAACUCACUGGACAGAAACUGACGCUGAAGUGCGAAAGCUAGGGGAGCAAACAGG
rnacentral:rRNA from 1 species